UACAGAGGGUGCAAGCGUUAUCCGGAUUCACUGGGUUUAAAGGGUGCGUAGGUGGGUUGGUAAGUCAGUGGUGAAAUCCCCGAGCUUAACUUGGGAACUGCCAUUGAUACUAUCAGUCUUGAAUACCGUGGAGGUCAGCGGAAUAUGUCAUGUAGCGGUGAAAUGCUUAGAUAUGACAUAGAACACCAAUUGCGAAGGCAGCUGGCUACACGGAUAUUGACACUGAGGCACGAAAGCGUGGGGAUCAAACAGG
rnacentral:rRNA from 1 species